UCAUGAUCCACUUGCCUCGGCCUCCCAAAGUGCUGCGAUUACAGGCAUGAGCCACCGUACCUGGCCAAGCUAUUCUUAAAAAAGGAAAAGUAGCACUUCACGUCUGGAAGGAUGGGAUGUUAAUCAGACUGAACAUAAAAACAUAUAUAAAGAAUGUGUCAUUCAGAAUGGUAAAUGUUGGUGGAUUGGUCAGUUCAGUGGAGAAAUCCAGGAAAAGGCACAUCACUGAGUAAAUGUUGGCAAUGACCUUCUAAACUUAUGGGGGAAUUUUGUGAUUUGAUUUCUAUGCAGGCUCACCUAGGUGAAGUAAAUGUGCUGAUCAUAUGACCUUUAAUUAGUCUGGCCUCUGUAAUAGUUAUUUCUAAUUAUAAAUUAGUAGAUGGACUUUUGACUCAGGGAAGGGAAGUACUUAUCCUAUGGAUGUCAGUGUUUUGAUUACUGUGAUAACAUUUUCUCACUGUAAAUUAAUAAGCUGGCAUGCUGUAUUACAAGUCAGCCCAUGGAGUUUGGUUAUUAUGGUUCAGAUGAAAGAAGUAUCUGCUCUAGGAGUAUUGACACAAUCAUUCCUGCAUCUUCUGGGUUGAGGGAAGUCAGAUUCCAAUGUGUGAUGAUUUCUUAAGGAAAGUACCUCUGCCCUUUAAUUUCUUUGGGAAACAUCUUGCUGGCCUGUUUUCUGGUGUUGACAAUAAUGAUACACUAGAAGUAUUUAUUUCUACAAUCUGAACACUAACUGUAUGGAUAGAAUGUCCACCUCCUGCCUCCUUUCUUUCUAUCUUAAAGCUUUAUGUUGGGUACCUUAGCAAUAAGUAUAUGAUCAAGAUGGAAACUUCAUCCACCGCAUGUGUAUUUCAGUGCUGAACUCACCAAUGGACAUUUGAUGACACGAUCCAAAAAUUACAUAGAUUACCGAAGAACAGAAAGCUGCAUAAGCGAUGUUGAGAGGAGGAAUCAGUUGCCUUGCCAGCAAACUAAGUGUCAGGCCUGAAAAACAAGAUAAUUUAAGAAAAAGCAGCUUGUCUUUAAAAGUCACCUUAAAUAAAAACUGUAAAGAAUAUUUAAAAUAAAAAUCAUCCAUGUGUAUAGCUGACUGAGUGUGGUAAUAGUAUUUCUGGACAUACAAUCCUUCAUUAGCACUUUUUAUUAUCUUCUUUGAUUCCUAGCUUCUCUUCCUAUUUUGCCACAUGCUUUUACACUUUAAUUCAAUAUCAUAGGCUGAAACAUCAUUCACUGCAAGGUCUUAAUACUAAACAUGUAAAGCAAAUACCAUAGCAAUAAGACCCCUAAUUCCAACAGCUCAAAAGCAGCCCCAUCCUUAUGCCUAGUCUAGCACAAGCAGGCCGUGGGAAUUCUCCAGGGCUGAAGAUAAAACUGGAGAGCAAGGCAAGAAUCACACUUCACUGACUUGAAGUUGGUAUGUGUUGGUUCUCUUCCAUAGGCCAAUCACUCCAGCCUCUUCCUUCAGCUGCUUCUCUAAUACUUACUUUCUUUUCUAAGAAGCACCAUGAGAAUUUGGAAAUUUUGAAGCAAAUGGACUAACAGGCAUAGUGUCAUCCUUUUGAUGUUUCAAGCCCCUAUUUCCUUCCCUAAGAGUCUGUCCUCAAUUUACAUCAUACUGAUAUACUCAUCUAAAUUCAGUUAUGAAUUUAGUGAGGUGGUUUAUUGUCUUAGAUAAGCAAGGCUCCUUUUUAUAAGACAUUUCAAACACAUCCAAAAAUAGAGUAUAAUGAAUUCCAUAUACCCAUCAUCCACUUCAACAAUGGUUAACCCAUAACCAAUCUAUGCUUCUACUCCUCUCUCACCCUAUAUUACUUUGAGGCAAAUCCAAGGCAUUCGAUUAUUUAAUCUGUAGAUAUUUUGGUAUGUGUCUCUAAAUGAUAAUACUCUUCUAAUUUAAGUACAAUAUCAUCAUUAUCCACUCAGUGUUCAAAUUUCCCUGAUUAUCUUACAAAUGAUUGUUGUGGUAGAGGGUCUCUAAUAUGAUCCACAAUGGCCAGUUGGUAUUCUUUUUCUUUUUUUUUUGAGACGGAGUCUUGCUCUGUUGCCCAGGCUGGAGUGCAGUGGCGCGAUCUCGGCUCCCCGCGAGCUCCACCUUCUGGGUUCAUGCCAUUCUCCUGCCUCAGCCUCCCGAGUAGCUGGAACUACAGGCGCCCACCACCAUGCCCGGCUAAUUUUUUAUAUUUUUAGUAGAGAUGGGGUUUCACCGUGUUAGCCAGGAUGGUCUCGAUCUCCUGACCUCGUGAUCCACCCGCCUCGGCCUCCCAAAGUGCUGGGAUUACAGGCGUGAGCCACCGCGCCCAGCCAGGCCAAUUGUCUUCUUGCCCUUGUACAAUUUCCUCCCCAUUAAGUGUGGAAUAGACUUAACCAAUUUGUUUCUAAGGAGUAGACUAUAACAAAAAUGACAGGAUGUCACUUCUGAGAUUAGGUUGCAAAAAGACUUUGGUUUCCAUCUUGGUUGCUCUCUCAUUCAGGUCAUUACCUGCCAGAGGUGGCUUCAAAGGUUUGUAAUCUAUGCAGUCAAGACAGAGUCCUGGGCUUAGAAGGACUUUGCACUUCGUUUAAUGCUUUGCUGUCACUGUCUUGAAAUUCUGAAUAAUUUUUGAACUAAGGGCCCUGUGUUUUUAUUUUGUAUUGGGCCCAACACAUAUAGUUGGUCCUGCCAGCUGCCAUGUUGUGAAUAUGGAGAAGCCAGAAUGGGGAGGAACUCAGGCCUGCCAACAGCUGCAUGAGUGAGCCUGGAAGCAGAUCCUCCAGCCUCAGUAGACCCUUGAGAUAACUGCAAUCUCACGAGAGACCUCGAACCAGAGUGCUGUGCUAGAGUUGGAUUUCAGCCACAGCUUGUUCAUGUUCUUGACCUCUUUUGUGCUAUCCACAACCUGCCCGAUCACAAGCUUCAACCCUGCCUGUUGAGCCUCAGAAAAAUAGAGAAAUGGAGCACAAGUAAUUGUUUACCCUGGGCACGUGGACAAGGUCUGAUACAUUGUCUUUGGAUGAACAGGCUUCAUAUCUUCCUUACCUUGGGGAACUUGCACAAGGCCAACACUUAUACCAGCAAGAACUCAGACAAGAAAGAGAAACGGACCCCAAAGGAGUCAGGUUAGGUUUCAGUCCUGCCCGGCUCGGCAGCAGGUGAAAGAUUGGACACACGCACCGGCACUGGACGUGGUGUCUGAAGGUGGUGAUGUUGAUGUUCAUGUUCCCAGAAGAGGAGGCCUUCCUUUUGUGUUCCUGUUGAAAGGUCUCCUCAUUGUAUACUUCACGCUUAACAUCAUAUGCGAAUGAGUUUCGCCUGGACUUAGAGCUGAAGCCAGAGAUGGCGCUCCUCUCUAGUUGUGCCAUUCCUGGAUGAGUGGAAAGAGAGCAAAUAAAAGAGCAUUUUCAGU
rnacentral:lncRNA from 1 species